AGGAAGCUGCCUACACUGAGGGAAUUAAAAGCUUUGAAACAGUUGGCAUCUCGGAGCUCCCGAGACAACGGCAGCCACUCCAGUGACGGUCACAGGGGACACCGUGGUCUUUGCAUCAGCAGCUCACGCUGCCGAGGACAGCGACCGUGGGCCACAGUUCAACUGAGAGACAGAGACCUCGCGUGCUCACAGCUUCUCCCAGAGGUUGCAGCUGAAGGUCUUGGGGUGAGCACCCUCCCCUCAGAUGUCUUCUGGUACAUCGCUGACAGCCUUUGCUGCGAAGUGUCCUGGUGGGACUGUGGUCCAGGUGACCCAGGGUCAAGAUCUCUGACGUGUAAAAGUCCCAGUUGGUUCUGAGAAAAGCCAAGCAACGACCAGGACGCAGUCAAAACUCAUUACACAGGGUCAUUACAUGGGAUCCAGGAAGGAGCCCUCGAGGCCCAGCUCCUGUGUGGUCUUUAGUUUUACUGGUGAUAAACCCUUGACCAACAGAGAUGUUUCAGCCUUGUGUUCAGCAAAUUUCCCACUCUUAUGACUGAGUCCAGUGGCCAAUCUGUCUUUGCUAUAAAAGGCUAUUUCAUCGUGGAAAGGAAGAAAAAAGAGGUGCCAAGGUUUUAUUUGAGGAACUCUGGCACCACCAAGUGGCUAACCCAAUGACCCCUCAAGUUGUCCUGCAAAUUCUCAGCAGACUCUUCCCCAAAUCUCCUUUAAUCUGGAUCCAAAUUUGUGAGAUGUGUUACCAUGUGUAAUACAGUCAGAUCCAUCUGUCACGGUCUGCAUUCUGUCUUGAGAUCCUCUUACAUUCUGGUUGGUUGUUUUUUCUGCGUUGCCUGCAGUACAUUUUAUUUUGGCUUUUCUACGCCUUUUGACAUUUCUCUGGAAUCUGACAAAUGCAGCUAGAAUUCCAUCUGGUACCAUACAGAAUUCCAUCGCUCUGAUGGUUGACUGUGGCCUGUUUGUACCAAACCCCUUCCCGAACCCCGAGAAGCCACCGCUCUCCCUUCCAACCCUGUAUUUUCACCUUUUCUGGGAUGUCAUGCAGAUGGAAAAUCACAGCACAGAGCUCUGGGGCUUUGGCGUCUUCACCUCCGGGAUGGAGGUGGGGUGCAUCUGUGACCUUUGGGAGUUGCAAGCGCGGCCCCCACUGCUGAGUUGCGUCCACGGUGAGAACAGACAGCGGCGCUUUCAUCCGCUCUCCUUCACAGGGCAGCUCGGCUGUCUCCAGUCUGAGGUGUUAUGAAGUUGAUAUGAACAUUCGCAGACAGAUUUUUGUGGAAACAUGAGUUCUACAUUCACUUAGGUACAGUUCGAGAGACGGAUUUCUGUCGCACACGGUAAAUGCACGUUUCUCACCUGAGGAAGCAGCCAACUGUCCCCCAAGGUGGCUCUUCUGUCCUUGCAGGGCUACCCGCUGGGAAGGAGAGUUCUCGGGGCUCCACACAUGUGUGGUGUUGCCACGUUGAGGAAGUGACUUUAGCGACACACUGCUGGAUGGGAGGAACGUUCUGAAAUGCUAGCCCUUUAUUAGAUCUGUAAUUUGUAAAUAGUUUCUCCAAGUCUGUGGCCUGUCUUUUUCAUUAUACUUACAGUGUGUUUUGCAAAGCAAAAGUUUUUAAUUUUGAUUGAGUCAAAUUUAGCAAAUGUUUCUUUUAUGAGUCAAGCUUUUGGUACUGUAUCUAUAAACUCACCACCAAAACCAAAGUCAUGCAGAUUUUCCUUGGUAUUUUUCUCUAGACGUUUACUCAUUGCAAAUGACUGUUUGUAUAUGGGGCAUGGUAUGGAUCAAUGUUCUUUUUUGCGUAUGAACAUUCAAGUGUUCCCACACCACUUAUUGAAAAGACUGUCUAUCUCAACUGAAAUGCCUUUUGCACCUUUGACAAAAGUCAUGCACCAAUAUUCUGGACUCUCCAGCACCACAGGUUUAUUGUCCAUCUCAAUACCUACACUACAC